GACGAACGCUGGCGGCGUGCUUAACACAUGCAAGUCGAACGGAAAGGCCCUGCUUUUGUGGGGUGCUCGAGUGGCGAACGGGUGAGUAACACGUGAGUAACCUGCCCUUGACUUUGGGAUAACUUCAGGAAACUGGGGCUAAUACCGGAUAGGAGCUCCUGCUGCAUGGUGGGGGUUGGAAAGUUUCGGCGGUUGGGGAUGGACUCGCGGCUUAUCAGCUUGUUGGUGGGGUAGUGGCUUACCAAGGCUUUGACGGGUAGCCGGCCUGAGAGGGUGACCGGCCACAUUGGGACUGAGAUACGGCCCAGACUCCUACGGGAGGCAGCAGUGGGGAAUAUUGCACAAUGGGCGGAAGCCUGAUGCAGCAACGCCGCGUGCGGGAUGACGGCCUUCGGGUUGUAAACCGCUUUCGCCUGUGACGAAGCGUGAGUGACGGUAAUGGGUAAAGAAGCACCGGCUAACUACGUGCCAGCAGCCGCGGUGAUACGUAGGGUGCGAGCGUUGUCCGGAUUUAUUGGGCGUAAAGGGCUCGUAGGUGGUUGAUCGCGUCGGAAGUGUAAUCUUGGGGCUUAACCCUGAGCGUGCUUUCGAUACGGGUUGACUUGAGGAAGGUAGGGGAGAAUGGAAUUCCUGGUGGAGCGGUGGAAUGCGCAGAUAUCAGGAGGAACACCAGUGGCGAAGGCGGUUCUCUGGGCCUUUCCUGACGCUGAGGAGCGGAAGCGUGGGGAGCGAACAGGCUUAGAUACCCUGGUAGUCCACGCUGUAAACGGUGGGUACUAGGUGUGGGGUCCAUUCCACGGGUUCCGUGCCGUAGCUAACGCUUUAAGUACCCCGCCUGGGGAGUACGGCCGCAAGGCUAAAACUCAAAGGAAUUGACGGGGCCCCGCACAAGCGGCGGAGCAUGCGGAUUAAUUCGAUGCAACGCGUAGAACCUUACCUGGGUUUGACAUGGAUCGGGAGCGCUCAGAGAUGGGUGUGCCUCUUUUGGGGUCGGUUCACAGGUGGUGCAUGGCUGUCGUCAGCUCGUGUCGUGAGAUGUUGGGUUAAGUCCCGCAACGAGCGCAACCCUUGUUCACUGUUGCCAGCACGUUAUGGUGGGGACUCAGUGGAGACCGCCGGGGUCAACUCGGAGGAAGGUGGGGAUGACGUCAAGUCAUCAUGCCCCUUAUGUCCAGGGCUUCACGCAUGCUACAAUGGCUGGUACAGAGAGUGGCGAGCCUGUGAGGGUGAGCGAAUCUCGGAAAGCCGGUCUCAGUUCGGAUUGGGGUCUGCAACUCGACCUCAUGAAGUCGGAGUCGCUAGUAAUCGCAGAUCAGCAACGCUGCGGUGAAUACGUUCCCGGG
rnacentral:rRNA from 1 species